rnacentral:rRNA from 1 species
GGCGCACGGGUGCGUAACACGUAACUAACCUACCCAUCCUUGGGGGAUAGCCCGCCGAAAGGCGGAUUAAUACCGCAUAAGACUGUAGAGGGGCAUCCUUUAGCAGUUAAAGAUUUAUUGAGGAUGGAUGGGGUUGCGGGUCAUUAGCUAGUUGGGUGGGUAACGGCUGCCCAAGGCGACGAUGACUAGGGGAGCUGAGAGGCUGGUCCCCCACACGGGCACUGAGAUACGGGCCCGACUCCUACGGGAGGCAGCAGUAGGGAAUAUUGGGCAAUGGGCGAGAGCCUGACCCAGCCAUGCCGCGUGCAGGAAGAAGGCUUUCUGAGUCGUAAACUGCUUUUGACAGGGAAGAAUAAGCUGGACGUGUCCAGUGAUGACGGUACCUGCAGAAUAAGCACCGGCUAACUCCGUGCCAGCAGCCGCGGUAAUAC